rnacentral:rRNA from 1 species
GAUGAACGCUAGCGGCAGGCCUAACACAUGCAAGUCGAGGGAGAAGCCCUUUCGGGGGCAGAAACCGGCGCACGGGUGCGUAACGCGUAUGCAACCUACCUUUCAUAGGGGGAUAGCCCGAAGAAAUUUGGAUUAAUACCCCAUAAUAUUGUUGGAUGGCAUCAUCUGGCAAUUAAAGCUACGACGGUGGAAGAUGGGCAUGCGUCCUAUUAGCUAGUUGGAGUGGUAACGGCACCCCAAGGCUACGAUAGGUAGGGGUCCUGAGAGGGAGAUCCCCCACACUGGUACUGAGACAGGGACCAGACUCCUACGGGAGGCAGCAGUGAGGAAUAUUGGUCAAUGGUCGGAAGACUGAACCAGCCAUGCCGCGUGCAGGAAGAAUGCCUUAUGGGUUGUAAACUGCUUUUAUAUGGGAAGAAUAAGGCGUACGUGUACGUNGANGACGGUNCCA